GAUGAAGAACGUAGCGAAAUGCGAUACGUAAUGUGAAUUGCAAAUUCAGUGAAUCAUCGAGUCUUUGAACGCACAUUGCGCCCCCUGGUAUUCCGGGGGGCAUGCCUGUCCGAGCGUCAUUGCUGCCCUCAAGCACGGCUUGUGUGUUGGGCCCCGUCCUCCGAUCCCGGGGGACGGGCCCGAAAGGCAGCGGCGGCACCGCGUCCGGUCCUCGAGCGUAUGUGGCUUUGUCACCCGCUCUGUAGGCCCGGCCGGCGCUUGCCGAUCAACCCAAAUUUUUUUAUCCAGGUUGACCUCGGAUCAGGUAGGGAUACCCGCUGAACUUAAGCAUAUCAAUAAGCGGAGGA
rnacentral:misc_RNA from 1 species